GACGAACGCUGGCGGCGUGCCUAAUACAUGCAAGUAGAACGCUGAAGGAGGAGCUUGCUCUUCUGGAUGAGUUGCGAACGGGUGAGUAACGCGUAGGUAACCUGCCUGGUAGCGGGGGAUAACUAUUGGAAACGAUAGCUAAUACCGCAUAACAGUAGAUGUUGCAUGACAUUUGCUUAAAAGGUGCAAUUGCACCACUACCAGAUGGACCUGCGUUGUAUUAGCUAGUUGGUGGGGUAACGGCUCACCAAGGCGACGAUACAUAGCCGACCUGAGAGGGGGAUCGGCCACACUGGGACUGAGACACGGCCCAGACUCCUACGGGAGGCAGCAGUAGGGAAUCUUCGGCAAUGGACGGAAGUCUGACCGAGCAACGCCGCGUGAGUGAAGAAGGGUUUCGGAUCGUAAAGCUCUGUUGUAAGAGAAGAACGAGUGUGAGAGUGGAAAGUUCACACUGUGACGGUAGCUUACCAGAAAGGGACGGCUAACUACGUG
rnacentral:rRNA from 1 species